CCUUGUUUGACCAUUGAUGGU
rnacentral:misc_RNA from 1 species